GCCGGGCAUGGUGGCGGGUGCCUGUAAUCCCAGCUACUCGGGAGGCUGAGGCAGAAGAAUCACUUGAACCCAGGAGGCGGAGGUUGCAGUGAGCUGAGAUGGUGCCACUGCAUUCCAGCCUGGGCGACAGAGUGAGACUGUGUCUCAAAAAAAAGAAAAAAAUUAUUUUUUUAGAGACAGGGUCUUGCUCUGUUGCCCACGCUGGAGUGAGGUGGUGUGAUCAUAGCUACCUGCAGCCUUGAACUCCUGGGCCCUCAUGAUCCUCCUGCCUCU
rnacentral:sRNA from 1 species